rnacentral:rRNA from 1 species
UACGUAGGGGGCAAGCGUUGUCCGGAUUUAUUGGGCGUAAAGAGCGUGUAGGCGGCUUGGCAGGUCCGCUGUGAAAACUCGAGGCUCAACCUCGAGAUGUCGGCGGAAACCGCUUGGCUAGAGUCCGGAAGAGGAGAGUGGAAUUCCCGGUGUAGCGGUGAAAUGCGCAGAUAUCGGGAAGAACACCUAUGGCGAAGGCAGCUCUCUGGGACGGUACUGACGCUGAGACGCGAAAGCGUGGGGAGCGAACAGG